rnacentral:rRNA from 1 species
GGUCCAGACUCCUACGGGAGGCAGCAGUAAGGGAUAUUGGUCAAUGGGGGAAACCCUGAACCAGCAACGCCGCGUGAGGGAAGACGGUUUUCGGAUUGUAAACCUCUGUCCUCUGUGAAGAUGAUGACGGUAGCAGAGGAGGAAGCUCCGGCUAACUACGUGCCAGCAGCCGCGGUAAUACGUAGGUGGCAAGCGUUGUCCGGAAUUACUGGGUGUAAAGGGAGCGCAGGCGGGAAGCCAAGUCAGCUGUGAAAACUACGGGCUUAACUUGUAGACUGCAGUUGAAACUGGUUUUCUUGGGUGAAGUAGAGGUUGGCGGAAUUCCGAGUGUAGCGGUGAAAUGCGUAGAUAUUCGGAGGAACACCGGUGGCGAAGGCGGCCAACUGGGCUUUAACUGACGCUGAGGCUCGAAAGUGUGGGGAGCAAACAGGAUUAGAUACCCCGGUAA